UACGGGGGGUGCGAGCGUUGUCCGGAAUCACUGGGCGUAAAGGGCGCGUAGGUGGUUUGAUAAGGGUGUGGUGAAAGUCCGGGGCUCAACCCCGGAUCUGCCGUGCCGACUGUCAAACUCGAGGACUGUAGAGGCAGACGGAAUUCCGGGUGUAGCGGUGGAAUGCGUAGAGAUCCGGAGGAAGACCGGUGGCGAAGGAGGUCUGCUGGGCAGUUUCUGACACUGAGGCGCGACAGCGUGGGGAGCAAACAGGG
rnacentral:rRNA from 1 species